CCGGGGCAGCCACACACAGUUCAUGGACCAUGGCGGCGGCAACGCCAGCACAAGGGCUUGGUGGGCGGAAAAGACGCGAUGAUUUAUGGACAUACUUUACACAUAAUCCAGCAGAAAUAAAACGGAAUGCCUUGUAAGCGGGAGACAGAGGUACACGCUGCGGCUAUAAACUACGUGGCAAGAAUAUGGCCAACCUCAAGAGGCAUCUAAAGGCUCACCAUGCUGCUAUUUCUGCGACGAUCGUCAUGGAUCCGGCCCCGGAUAAGCGGAAGAAGACGAGAUCGUGGUGGAUGUUCUUUAAGCUGUUUGACACUUCUGACAUUUCGGGGCUGUCCUGUGCUGACGUUACGGCAAGACAUCGCUGUUCCUCACACUGCUGGGGUGAAGAUUGUUUUGUGGAUUAAAUGAAGCAGUAAAGUGCAAGAGAUGUUUCACACUGGGCUCGUGAGCGAGUUCCAUCACCUGCAGGCACAGAAUAAAUGUGUGUGGCAGCGGGGGCGGGGUCAAGCGCCGGUCUGUGACAGGAGGGCGGAGUCAGGGAAGGUAAGUGGCAGAAUCACUACACCUGAGAGCAAUUAACCUGUGUUUGUGUGUGCCUUCCCAGUGACCGCGCCCUAUUUAAGGAGGGAGAGCGAGAGCAGAGGAGCUCUCUCCACAACCAGAUAACCGGAAUGUGUGUGUGGCUGAGAGAGAAAGCUAUUCCACUGAAAAGUGAAAAUAAGAGUUUUUGCGAACUCAGUCUCUGUCCUGCCGUCCUCUGUGCUCCACCCACAUCUAGUGAACCUUACAAUGUGCAACAAACCUUUACACAUAAACCUUCGUACUUCAGCACCAUAAUGUCAAUAAUUUCACUCUUCUCACUGAGUCCACUUAUUUACAUUUGUAGCAUCAUUCAUAAUGUAAUUUAUAACAUCAUUCAUAGCACACUGAACAAACUCAAUCAUCCAGUUGGACUUGAGAAUCCUAGUGCGAGUGAGAGAAUGUUUUUGCCCAGAUUUUUAUGAUCGAAUCCUAAAAACAACCUGUCCCUCACAGCCUGAUGGUCUGAAGUCCAAAAUGAAUUAAAUAAUUUAAAUUCUCAAAAUAAAAUCAUAAAUACUAUAAAAUUAGCUUUCCUUUGUUUUAAUUCCUCAAAUCAUUAAUAAACUAAAAUGCUGUUGUACCUUUUUAUAUAUCAUUUAGUUUAUAUUUUUUCAUUCCUACACAUGAAGAUUUUGGCCACACACCCCUCAUUACCAGAUAUGUUUUGAGGGCAAUUUAGAGCUAGUAAUGAGGUAAAGCAAUUCAAUAAUGAUGUGAUUUGAAACAGGUGAUGUCAACAGGUGACUGUAAUCAUGAUUUGGGCCAAAAUCAGUAUCCAGGAAAGGCCGAGUCUUUGAGGAGCAAAGAUGGGCCAAGGAUCUCCAGUUUGUCAACAAAUGCAUGAGAAAAUUAUUUAAAUGUUUAAAAACAAUGUUCCUCAAAGAAAGAUAGGAAGGGAUUUGGAUAUUUCACCCUCUACGGUGCAUAAUAUCAUGAAAUGAUUCAAGGAGUCUGGAGUAGUUUCAGUGUGUAAAGGGCAAGGACGCGAGCCUAAUCUGAACACCUGUGAUCUCCGAUCCCUUAGACGGCACUGCAUCAAGAACCAUCAUUCAUCUACAGUGGUGUUUGAAAGUUUGUGAACCCUUUAGAAUUUUCUAUAUUUCUGCAUAAAUAUGACCUAAAACAUCA